rnacentral:rRNA from 1 species
GACGAACGCUGGCGGCAUGCCUAAUACAUGCAAGUCGGGCGAACAGAUGAAGUGCUUGCACUUCUGACGUUAGCAGCGAACGGGUGAGUAACACGUAGGAAUCUACCUAUAAGCGGGGGAUAACAUUCGGAAACGGGUGCUAAUACCGCAUAAUAUCUUCUUCCGCAUGGAAGAAGAUUGAAAGACGGCUCUGCUGUCACUUAUAGAUGACCUUGCGGUGCAUUAGUUAGUUGGUGGGGUAACGGCCUACCAAGACGAUGAUGCAUAGCCGACCUGAGAGGGUGAUCGGCCACAUUGGGACUGAGACACGGCCCAAACUCCUACGGGAGGCAGCAGUAGGGAAUCUUCCGCAAUGGGCGAAAGCCUGACGGAGCAAUGCCGCGUGAGUGAAGAAGGCCUUCGGGUCGUAAAACUCUGUUAUAAGAGAAGAACAAAUUGUAGAGUAACUGCUACAGUCUUGACGGUAUCUUAUCAGAAAGCCACGGCUAACUACGUGCCAGCCGCCGCCGUAA